rnacentral:rRNA from 1 species
AUUGAACGCUGGCGGCAGGCCUAACACAUGCAAGUCGAACGGUAACAGGAAGAAGCUUGCUUCUUUGUUGACGAGUGGCGGACGGGUGAGUAAUGUCUGGGAAACUGCCUGAUGGAGGGGGAUAACUACUGGAAACGGUAGCUAAUACCGCAUAACGUCGCAAGACCAAAGAGGGGGACCUUCGGGCCUCUUGCCAUCGGAUGUGCCCAGAUGGGAUUAGCUAGUAGGUGGGGUAAACGGCUCACCUAGGCGACGAUCCCUAGCUGGUCUGAGAGGAUGACCAGCCACACUGGAACUGAGACACGGUCCAGACUCCUACGGAGCAGCAGUGGGGAAUAUUGCACAAUGGGCGCAAAGCCUGAUGCAGCCAUGCCGCGUGUAUGAAGAAGG